GUUCAUGUGGAGCUAGACUCCCAGGUAGUGGAGGAGAUGCCCACUACUAGUAAUAGGGUACAGGUGGGGCUAGUCUCCCAGGUAGUGGAGGAGAUGCCCACUACUAGUAAUAGGGUUCAGGUGGGGCUAGUCUCUCAGGUAGUGGAGGAGAUGCCCACUACGACUAAUAGGGUUCAGGUGGGGCUAGUCUCCCAGGUAGUGGAGGAGAUGCCCACUACUAGUAAUAGGGUUCAGGUGGGGCUAGUCUCCCAGGUAGUGGAGGAGAUGCCCACUAUUAGUAAUGGGGUUCAGGUAGAGCUAGUCUCCCAGGUAGUGGAGGAGAUGCCCACUACUAGUAAUAGGGUUCAGGUGGGGCUAGUCUCCCAGGUAGUGGAGGAGAUGCCUGGUACGAGUGAUGGGCUGCAAGUGGGGAGUGAUGAAAGGG
rnacentral:lncRNA from 1 species